GCCACUCCAACUGACCUAGCAGAAAAAUGGAUAAGAAGAAGACAAAUAUAGGGAGACAACCUUACCCCUCCAAAUCCCUCUCACUCUCUCGUCUUUUAUGUCUCAACUCUGUCGUUGGAGAGCUUCGCUGGAAAUUGGUUAGUUCGCCAUCUUUCAAUCGAGUCCGUCAAUUACAACUACGGCUCCGCUCGUUGUUCCUUAUUUGUUUCCGAAUCCAUUGUGAGCACUCGCUAUUCAACUUUGGUAAUGAUUUUGAAAGCAACUGUUUGCUCAUUUGAGUGUCGCCUUCUUCUUUAUAAACUGGUUGGAAGAUUUUAAUAUAUAUUGAAAGGUUUAAGAGGAAACAGAAUAAGAUAGAGAUGUUUUCAUUAUUUUAUGCAUUGUGUAAAUACAUGUUUAGUAAAACAUAGUUUCAUAUACUUAUUCUUGGGAUUGACAAGGCUAGAAAACGAC
rnacentral:lncRNA from 1 species